rnacentral:rRNA from 1 species
AGAGUUUGAUCAUGGCUCAGGACGAACGCUUGCGGCGUGCCUAAGAAAUGCAAGUCGAACGGGGCUUUGGCCCCAGUGGCGAACGGUCGCGUAACACGUAAGCAACCUGCCCUGAAGUGGGGGCAACAUUCCGAAAGGGGUGCUAAUACCCCAUAUGCUUUCGAGUGGAACGGAAUUUUCCGCCUAAAGAGAAGCUUGCGGCUGAUUAGCUUGUUGGUGAGGUAAUGGCUUACCAAGGCGACGAUCAGUAUCUGGUUUGAGAGGAUGAUCAGACACACUGGAACUGAGACACGGUCCAGACUCCUACGGGAGGCAGCAGUGGGGAAUUUUCCGCAAUGGGCGAAAGCCUGACGGAGCAAUCUCGCGUGAGGGAUGACGGCCUAUGGGUUGUAAACCUCUUUUUUCAGGGAGGAAUAAAUGACGUGUACCUGAAGAAUAAGCAUCGGCGAACUCCGCGCCAGCAGCCGCGGUAAGACGGAGGAUGCAAGUGUUAUCCGGAAUCACUAGGCGUAAAGCGUCUGUAGGUGGUUUGAUAAGUCAACUGUUAAAUCUUGAAGCUCAACUUCAAAAUCGCAGUCGAAACUAUCAGACUAGAGUAUAGUAGGGGUAAAGGGA